rnacentral:lncRNA from 1 species
GGAGAUCGUGAGGAGAUUGUGAGCCACUAAAAAAAGAGAGGAAGAGAGAAGAAGAGAGGCUGGGAGAGAGUGCUUCGUUCAAGAAAGAAGAUUGAAGAUCAUCGAUUGAAGAAGUUUGCUCAACUUCAAAUUAGAGUUAUUCCAUCAAGGAGGAUUUUUCUGGAGGUUUGUUUAAUUUUUAAAUUUUUUUUCUUAUAUCAGAAGCAAUAUUUUUGAUGUGAUGUUAGAAUUUUUUUUUUGUACUAAACUAUUAUUAUAGUAGAAGCUUCUUCUUAUUUUCGUUUCUAUGUAGAUGUAGGCUUUGGUCGAAUCACAACCUUGCUCUUUAGUUGAUUGAUGGGAUUGAUUGAAUCUAGUGCUUAUUCUGUCUUCGCUAGAGGAUAACCUUCUAGUGACAUAGUUUCUUCCCUUCCUCUUUUUGGUCCUAUCUCCUCAGCUUCUUAAAACCAGCUAUACUUAAUUCAUUUACCAACCAAUCGAGGGCUGGUCCUUAUUUAUAAAAUUAAUAAGCAGAUUUAUUUGUAACAGGCUUUCGAGGUGCUUCUUACAAACAAAUCGAAUUCGGGCACAACAGCCAAAGAGCCAAAGUGGGGAGGGAGGGGAGUUUCUCAAGUAAAUGCGGAAAUCCUACUCUUGCUCUUGAAGGAAGUAGCAUCUUUCUUGUUGGGUAAUAGAAUAUGUUUGAGCAAUAAUAAAUAACUGGUGAGAUAGCAAUGGAAAUUGGAGGCUUCGCUCUUGGCCGAUUCAGCUGAAAACGCAGGUCAGGUCAGGUACGUUAUCAAGAAGUGAUUAAGUGCUUGGGCCUGACUUUGUUCGCUUUGCUAUUCGCCCCUGAUCCUAGUCCUAAAGAACCCUCACUAGUGUCUUUUCCUUUCUCACACCCUCUCUUCGCGGAAAGUCUUCGUUCUAUUUCUUUCACUCCAGGAAUAAAGUGACUCGAUCAUAGGGAGAGGCACAGGGGCUCGGCUAUUCUCAAGCAAAAGAGAGGUG